rnacentral:rRNA from 1 species
AAAAACAUCGCCUCCCGCAAAGAACAAAGUAUAGGAGGUCCUGCCUGCCCAGUGAACAAGUUUUAAACGGCCGCGGUAUCUUGACCGUGCAAAGGUAGCGCAAUCACUUGUCUUUUAAAUGAAGACCUGUAUGAAUGGUGGAACGAGGGCUUAACUGUCUCCCUCCUUAAGUCAGUGAAAUUGAUCUGCCCGUGCAGAAGCGGACAUAAAAAUACAAGACGAGAAGACCCUUUGGAGCUUAAGAUUUAAGACCAACUAUGUCAAAAAUUUGUUAUAAAACAUUUUAAACCUAAUAGAAAAUUGAUCCAAAUCUUCGGUUGGGGCGACCACGGGGGAAAACAAAGCCCCCACGUGGAGUGGGAAAAUCAUCCUAAAACCAAGAGAGACAUCUCCAAGACACAAAACAUUUGACCUUACAGAUCCGGUUUACACCGAUCAACGAACCAAGUUACCCUAGGGAUAACAGCGCAAUCCCCUCCCAGAGUCCAUAUCGACAAGGGGGUUUACGACCUCGAUGUUGGAUCAGGACAUCCUAAUGGUGCAGCCGCUAUUAAGGGUUCGUUUGUUCAACGAUUAAAGUCCUACGUGAUCUGAG